ensembl:lncRNA
AUUUAUAUAUAUUAUAUAUUUAUAUACACAUUAUAUAUUAUAUAUAAUUUAUAUACACAUACAAAUUUUAUAUAUUAUAUAUUAUUUUAUAUAUUAUAAAGUAGAUUUAUAUACCACUUUAUACAUUAUAAAGUGGGUUUCUUGCAGACCACAUGUAGUUGGGUUUGAUCCAUUCCAAUAAGUUUUGUCUUUCAAUUGGUGUAUGAAGUCCAUUGCCAUUCAAAGGCUUUAUUGAUAUAGUUGGAUUGUUAUCUACCACAUUUGUUAAUAUUUCCUAUUCAUUGCCUUUCUUCUUUGCUUCUAUUUUGUCUUCCACUUUUUGUCUGCCUUUUGUAGUUUUAAUUGAGCAUUUUAAAUAAUUCAAUUUUCUCUCCUUUUAAAAAACAUUUAAAUUAUACUUUUUAUACAUUUUUAGUGAUUUUAUACUUCUUUUUACAUUUUAUAAAAUAUUUAUAACUAAUCCAAGUUCAUACUGAAACAAAAUUAUACCACUUCAUAAGUAGUAUACAUGAAGUGAGUAUACUAUACUAAAUAACAAAUAAUAUAAUUAAAGUUAUAAUAAAAAUACUAAUAGAAAAAAUACCAUCUGAAUAUAAUUUGGUUAAAUUUAUGGAAAUGUAACACAUACAGAAAAGUCAUACUUGAAAAUUUAGCCCCAUAAAUUUUCACCCAAUGAACACACCCAAUGCUCAAAUCAAAACUCCCCCACCCCUUUCCCUUUCCAAUGACUAUACUACCUCCCAAAGGGAAUGGCCACUCUUUUGAUUUCUAACACAUAAGUGCAUUUUUAUUUUUAAAAACUCCUGCAAUUCACUUAAAGCAUGAUUCCCCAGUCUCCUUUCCACAAUGAGUUUGGUGUGUUUUUUCUCAUCCAUUUUUAAAAUACAAGAAAUUUACUACAAAGCCAUUGGUUACCCAGGUGAUAGAGGAGUUGAAAGCCAAAUAUGGGAUGACAAAAUAACCUAAAACUAGUGACAGCAGGCUACAAAGCCAGAGGAAAGGGGUAGAGUUUCAGGACCCCAGCCGCUGAUGUCACCUAGCUAAACCUGGAACCACAGCAAUAUCUUCUGAAGGCAGCUGGAGCCACUGAAGAGUCUCUCAACUCCUUCUUUCCAGUUUAUUAUCCACAUUGCUGCCAGGUUGGCCCUUCUAAUCUCAGAUCUAAUCCUGUCAUGUCCUGACGCCAUAGUGUAGAAACAUCUGAUACUUCUGCCCCAUCAGAGAGCGCCUUAUACUACAGAAUCUCUGAACCCUACAAUGGCUCCCAAACACAUUGUACGUUUUUCCACUCUUUGUCUCUGAUCUGUUUGUCCACUCAUUCUCAAAUGCUGCAUUAGCCAGAGUACCAACUGGGAUAAGGUAGCACACCCAAAAUGACGUCUAAAGGGAUUUAUGUAUAAAGGGAAACUUUCACAGGAGGGGGAAUGCAGGGAGCAGAACCUCAAAGGCUGAUGCAGUAACAUAGGGUCAGCCACAGUGGAGACAUUACCACUCAUGUGCUGGAAGGGAAGAGGGGAGAAUAUUUACUGGGACUCAAAAAGAGAGGUUCCUGUAGGGUCACUUUGAGAGGAGCCAUGUCCUUUGAUUUAGAAACAGCCCGCCUGAAGCAACUUCUCAG